UACGUAGGUGGCGAGCGUUGUCCGGAUUUAUUGGGCGUAAAGCGCGCGCAGGCGGUCCGGUAAGUCUCCGGUGAAAUCGCGCGGCUCAACUGGGCGGGUGCCGGGGAGACUGGCGGACUUGAGGAGCCUAGAGGACGGUGGAACUCCCGGUGUAGUGGUGAAAUGCGUAGAGAUCGGGAAGAACACCUGUGGCGAAAGCGGCGCACUGGACCACAACUGACGCUGAGGCGCGAAAGCUAGGGGAGCAAACAGG
rnacentral:rRNA from 1 species